ACUCCUACGGGAGGCAGCAGUGGGGAAUAUUGCACAAUGGGGGAAACCCUGAUGCAGCCAUGCCGCGUGUGUGAAGAAGGCCUUCGGGUUGUAAAGCACUUUCAGUAGGGAGGAAGGUAGUGUAGUUAACACCUGCAUUAUUUGACGUUACCUACAGAAGAAGCACCGGCUAACUCCGUGCCAGCAGCCGCGGUAAUACGGAGGGUGCGAGCGUUAAUCGGAAUUACUGGGCGUAAAGCGCAUGCAGGCGGCCUGUUAAGUCAGAUGUGAAAGCCCGGGGCUUAACCUCGGAAUUGCAUUUGAAACUGGCAGGCUAGAGUCUUGUAGAGGGGGGUAGAAUUUCAGGUGUAGCGGUGAAAUGCGUAGAGAUCUGAAGGAAUACCAGUGGCGAAGGCGGCCCCCUGGACAAAGACUGACGCUCAGAUGCGAAAGCGUGGGGAAGCAAACAGGAUUAGAUACCCUGGUAGGAUAGCG
rnacentral:rRNA from 1 species